ACAACGGCCCUUUUCAGGGCCAAAAAAAAAAUAAAAAAUAAAAAAAU
rfam:Strongylocentrotus purpuratus Contig26139_fixed, whole genome shotgun sequence.